AACUGCUAUAUCUAGUAAGUCCAGCUGGGUAGUUGACAUGACAUGUCAAGCAGUUGUCAGCAGUGUCCUGCAAUGUGACAUGGGCUAUUUAAGCGCAAAAAGCCGAUUUAAUCUGUUGAAAACCUUGUGUGGCCAGUCACAGCACCUGCUUUCCUCUAUACAGAUAAAUUGGCUAGUGCAUACAUUACUGGCUGAGGUACACAGAGAAACAUCAUCGCGCUGAGCGCGAGCACCUGCUGUCUCAUCUCGUUUCUUGAGUGAAGAAUCGUCUCGAGCUGACACGAGCGCCCUCAGACAUGCCGCGUGCUGCGGAAAAUCCGGACACCGCGCGC